GACGAACGCUGGCGGCGUGCUUAACACAUGCAAGUCGAACGGAAAGGCCCUGCUUUUGUGGGGUGCUCGAGUGGCGAACGGGUGAGUAACACGUGAGUAACCUGCCCUUGACUUUGGGAUAACUUCAGGAAACUGGGGCUAAUACCGGAUAGGAGCUCCUGCUGCAUGGUGGGGGUUGGAAAGUUUCGGCGGUUGGGGAUGGACUCGCGGCUUAUCAGCUUGUUGGUGGGGUAGUGGCUUACCAAGGCUUUGACGGGUAGCCGGCCUGAGAGGGUGACCGGCCACAUUGGGACUGAGAUACGGCCCAGACUCCUACGGGAGGAAGCAGUGGGGAAUAUUGCACAAUGGGCGGAAGCCUGAUGCAGCAACGCCGCGUGCGGGAGGACGGCCUUCGGGUUGUAAACCGCUUUCGCCUGUGACGAAGCGUGAGUGACGGUAAUGGGUAAAGAAGCACCGGCUAACUACGU
rnacentral:rRNA from 1 species